UAAUCUAACUUGACAAUAUUUUGUUUCAUUUUUUAAAAGAUAUCGAAUUUGAAAUAAUGAAAUCCUAUUGAUUGGUGAACCCAGAAGGUUCAAGAGUAACUAUUCUACGAGAUCAUAUCAACGGAUGGUGAGCUGUUAACUUUACAAAAUAUAUUAUAGCAAAACAAUAACUGACAAAAAAGCAAAACAAUAAUUAGUAUAAUGUCGUUUCAAAUAUUGCAAUAAUAUGUUUGUCUACUAUUGGACGUGAAUAACGUGUUUCCCAAAUUAUCCAGCUGCUCCCAGCCUCCCACCCUAUGCAUCACUAUGAAUAAAUUCGACCGUCUGAAAAUAGUAAUUAUUAAAAUAAUUGUUUUAACUAUUUAUAUUAUUAAUACGAAUUUAUGGUGGAUGACUACCAAAACUUAUUUGAUUAGGUGUAUACCCAUUGUCACUGUGUAUUUUUUAUAAGACUAGGAGCAAUGAGGUUGUUGAAUGAAAUAUUCAACUGUUUAAUCCUCACAAUGAGGCUGUUGAAUUCUAAUAAAAUCCAACGUGGAUUAAUACAUGUUGAAAAGUUUCAACUAGUUGAAUACCAAAUGAGUGGGUCCUGUAGAGACAGGUGUUGAAAUGUGAAAGGAGAAAUUGAUGAGGAAGUGAAUUCAUACGCUAAAUGCAUAGUGAGUGGGCCCCCAAAAAACAAUUUGAUUGGUUGUCAAAAACUUUAGAAAUUUUAUUUCUUUCAAAUUAUUGAAACUCAAUUAUUUUAAAGUAAACAUUUUUAAAAAAAAUUAAAAUUUAUAUCAGUAUUUACGAUUUUUUAUGAUCUAUAAAUAGAUAUUAGUCUCAUUUCAUUUGGAUACAAAAAAGUUUUUUUUAUCAAUUUUCAUUAUGAUUUCUUUUAUUUUUUUAAAAAAUAGUUAAAUAUAACUAAAAAUUAUUAAAAAUAUUUCAUUUUAACUAUUUAAGUUAAUUACAAUAUAAACUAUAAUUAAUAUAUAGUUAUUAAUUUAUAAAAGAUAAAAAUAUGAAUUAAAAUAGUGGGGUAGGAUGUUGACUUUUAUUAAACAAAACUAUUGUAGAUGUAAAAAAUGAGGUGGAUGUUGAAUGAUUAGGUAGAUGAAAAAUAAGAUGAAGUGUAGUGUUAAAAAAAGAAAAUUAGGGUGUUGAAUUUAGUAACCAUUGUAGAUAGUCUAAUGGCCAGAUUGUCCUUAUUGUAUUUUACAGACAAUAACCGACAAAACCCCUUACCUCUUUAACCAUCUCUUUCUCCUUUUCUUUUCUCGUUCAGUUUCUCUUUUUAUUAUUUUUUUUUUUUUUGUUGAAACUUUUUUUUCUCUUCUUUCUGAUAAACUGUAACUUUCUAAAAAAAAAAAACCUUCCUCAUAUCUGUUUCCAGAUUCUACUCUUUUUUUUUCUCUGUUCUGUUUCCAGAGCAACACGAGAAAAACAAAAUUUGAUCUUUUGGUGGUUUGAUUUUUUUCAGAAGAAUCAGAACAAUGAUUUUGUUGUGAGCUAUCUCUAUAGGAUUGGAGGAGGCAAGGCGUACUUCCAUGGAGAUGGAAGAUAUAUGUAAUGCGGUUGUCGUGUGCAAGAGGAGAUGUCUCGAGCUCGCAUCCGUCUCGACCCGUCAUCACCGGUCUCGAGCUUGCCCCAGUCACCACCGGUCUCGAGCUUUGCCCCCGUCACCGUCGGUCUCAAGCUUGCCCCUGUCACCACCGGUCUCGAACUCGUCCGGUGCUGGGGAUGGAGACAGAACAGAGAAAGACAUCGAGAAGAGAGGCAAAGGAGGAAGGAGGAGGCGGCAGCAAAUAGAUUAGGUUUAGGGUUAAUUAGGUUUAGGUUAAUUAUGUUUUGGUUAAUUAGAUUUGGGUUUAAUGUUUUUAAUUAGGUUUCUUCGUUAUUUGAAGUACUCCAAAAUUACCGAGUUUGUUUACAGAUAUCCAACAUUUCUGAUCUCGCAUAACAAAAUGAUGUUCUUGGCUAUUACAAAUUUUAGCCGGAUUAUUUUUGUAA